AAAACAUUGUAGAUUAUCGAAAGUAUAUAUUUUUAUGCAUUGAUAUGAAAAGCAGAGAGUUUUCAGUGGAUAGAUGCUUGUUCACAGUGCAGGAGGUUUUUGUACGGCCACUUAAUGAGUUUGUAUCACUGUGGUGGACUUUUGGUGGAGGAACCAAACUCAUCAUUGACUUGGGUGUUGUGCGGCCCACCCUGACCGUCCUCCCCCCCUCCAGAGAGGAGCUGCAGCAGGGCAGAGCCACACUGGUGUGUCUGGCCAGCGGGGGCUUCCCCUCAGCCUGGAGUCUGGGCUGGAAGGUGGGGGGCAGCAGCAGCUCCUCAGGGGUGUCACACAGCCUGGAGGUCCUGGGGAGCGACGGCCACUACAGCUGGAGCAGCACCCUGAACCUCUCUGCAGACCAGUGGAGGAAGGCGGGCUCAGUGAGCUGUGAGGCCGGUCUGAAUGGACAGAGCCCUGUCACUCAAACCCUGGACCCUGGCCACUGCUCAGAGUAGAGCUUCAGCAACACUUCCUGUGUGGAAAUGAUGCUGCUUCUUUGAUAGAGAUCUUGAUGAAGCUACAGAUCUCCUCUGUUUCACAGCUCUCUACUCAGUGUUUCAGUGUGCAUGUUGCUUUCUAAUACUCAUCUGCUGCAUAUUCUUCUUAAUGUUCAUUACUUUUCAUAUUAAACUGAACCAUAGAUUAGUUGUCACUCCACGAUGAACUGUUGAUUCAUGAAAAAAUGCGACAUGAACAUUAUUUUAUUAUUAAAACUGUGGA